rnacentral:lncRNA from 1 species
AACCGGUUGGGUCAGGUAUGCGUCAGGUUUGGAGAUGGCGUGAUGUUCAAAGUGCAUGUUGCGUUGUGCGUUUGUGAUUGGUCGUCGUACUGCAUAUAAAGGUUGUCGUGCGAGCAACACAGACACAUAUUAUGCAAGACGUCGUACGGUGUUGAGCUCCUAAAUCGAGUACGAAUGAGUGAAGAUAAACAUAUCGUUCUUGUAAUAUGUUGAUAAAUUAAAGAUAGGGCUAAGCGAAGCGAGUGCUAAGCGAGGCGAGUGCUAAGCGAAGCCGAGUUCCUUUCCUAUAUCGUAAUGCAAAAAAGUGUGCGAGCAACACAGAACGUCAGAAGACGCAUAUUAUGCAAGACGUCGUGUGCGAUGUAGAGCUCCUAAAUCGAGUAAGAAUAAGGGAAGCAAAAAUACAGCGAAGUGAAAGUAUAGUGAAGUAAAAAUAUACAGAAGUGAAAAUAUAUAUACGAAUGAUGAUAACUUUAUUUUUAACUACGCAUAACAAGUUGGUUUCCACAAUUUCAACAAAGUGGGAAUAAACAUGAGGAUAAACAGGAGGACAAAAAUAAUAUAUAAUUUGUGUUUCUAAUUUAUGUAACUAAUUGUAAUUGGUAUAAAUAAAUGUUUUGUUUUGUUUUGUUUUGUUGUUGUAAGCGAAGCGAGCGCUAAGCGAGUGCCAGGCGAGGCGAGUGCCAAAAUUAUCAUUAUUAUGGAUUUAAAAAAAAAAAAAGAAGAAAAUUAUCAUUAUUAUGGAUUUCAAAAAAAAAAAAGAAGAAAAAAAUUAUCAUUAUUAUGGAUUUAAAAAAAAAAAAGAAGAAAAC